CUAAGAAUAUUCCGCAAUGGACGAAAGUCUGACGGAGCGACGCCGCGUGGAUGAAGAAGGCUGAAAAGUUGUAAAAUCCUUUUGUUGAUGAAGAAUAAGGGGAAGAGGGAAUGCUUCUCUGAUGACGGUAAUCAGCGAAUAAGCCCCGGCUAAUUACGUGCCAGCAGCCGCGGUAACACGUAAGGGGCGAGCGUUGUUCGGAAUUAUUGGGCGUAAAGGGCAUGUAGGCGGUUAUGUAAGCCUGAUGUGAAAUCCUGGGGCUUAACCCUAGAAUAGCAUUGGGUACUGUGUAACUUGAAUUACGGAAGGGAAACUGGAAUUCCAAGUGUAGGGGUGGAAUCUGUAGAUAUUUGGAAGAACACCGGUGGCGAAGGCGGGUUUCUGGCCGAUAAUUGACGCUGAGAUGCGAAAGUGUGGGGAUCGAACAGGAUUAGAUACCCUGGUAGUCCACACCGUAAACGAUGUACACUAGGUGUUGGGGCAAGAGCUUCAGUGCCAAAGCAAACGCGAUAAGUGUACCGCCUGGGGAGUAUGCCCGCAAGGGU
rnacentral:rRNA from 1 species